UAUUAAAAUUUACAUCCAUUUUUACUAUUAAAAAAUAGUGUAAUCGACAAUAUAGCAAAACAAUUGUACGUGGUGAGCUUAGUGUCCCUCAUGCUGGUGUACAUGAACAAAUUUUUAACAGUAAAAAUAGAUAUAAUUAUAAAAA
rfam:Gossypium raimondii Chr09_contig_614, whole genome shotgun sequence.